rnacentral:misc_RNA from 1 species
GGAAGUAAAAGUCAUAACAAGGUUUCCGUAGGUGAACCUGCGGAAGGAUCAUUACAGAGUUCAUGCCCGAAAGGGUAGACCUCCCACCCUUGUGUAUUAUUACUUUGUUGCUUUGGCGAGCGGAAGCUCGCCAGAGAAUACCAAAACUCUUUUUAUUAAUGUCGUCUGAGUAAUAUAUAAUAGUUAAAACUUUCAACAACGGAUCUCUUGGUUCUG